UGCCCGACUGGGAGUCGGAGGUCAGGCUUUCAGAACGUUCCAGGCUCCACGUGUGGCUCUCAUGCCUGGAGAAGCCAGAUGGAGGAAAGCCAGCACCCAUCCAUCGGCUCUGAGUUUGUUUGUCCCUAACUUGCUGUGGUGCCUAUGGGCAAGUCUAGUCUCUGUUUCCUCAUCUGUCAAAAGUGGCUGUACACAGUGAGAGGAAGAUGCGAGAAGCCCAGACAGCGAGCCACUCAGUGCACAUACAGGAGCCCAGUCUGUGGCCUCCCUGCGUAUACAGGCAGCUCAUGAGACCCAGGGAGGAGGCUGCCACUCAGCCUGUAUGGAGUGGUACCACCGAAUCACAGACAGGUCUUACCAGCAGAAAUUGGCAUACUGACCCAUGACCAUGGCAACCUGAUGCUGGACUCCCAAGAGGGCUAGGUUAUUGGACAAUAUACAAAGUCAUCAUCCUGGACCUGUCCUGUGACACACACUUACAGGGUCCUGGCUGAGGAGGCCAUGAUGUGGGGCCCCUGAUGAGAACACAUGCUCAUGCAUCUGCACAGGACACCUACCAAAAGAAAGAAAACCAGAAAGAGAGAGCCAGGAUAGCAAGACACAGGCAUCACAACACCCCGGCACGGGCUCCUGCCGAUGCCAGCUGGGUUCCUUGCCACCGUUACCGCUUGUACUGGCCUGGCCACUCUGCCCCUUACCUGCAGCCCUGAACUUUAAACCCAAGGAUUAGGCCAAAAAUGAAAAACAAAGCAAAACAAAACAAAACAAAACAGAAAAACCAAACCAAAACAAAACAAAACAGCCAAAGAUCAAAACAACCAACACCCCUGGCCCUAUGCCCUACAUUGGAAGGGACUGCACCCGGAAGCUUUCUAAGGAGCAGGGACUUGUGUUUGUAUCUUCAAACAUACUUUGCUUAGGAUCUGGCAUGUACAAUCGCAAAGGCAGUUUCUCCAAACAUCUCUGUCCGAAGAAUCCGUUUGGACAUCUGGAGAAGGAAAAGGGGAAAAAUCACAGAACAAACUGGCAUCAUCCACGAGGCUCAGGAAAUGAGGUAACCCCAUCACCGGUGUUCCCUCAAGAAUAGGUCACUGUUCAACAUGAAUCAGUAAACUUCAAGAGGGUGGCUCGGAGGAGGAGGAGGAGGCUACCAUCCUGUCAAUGCAUCAUCCUUCUCUGAUCUAAGCAUCCCAUCCCAGGAAAAUGAAGAAAAACAGGAGGGGACGGAGUGUGCCUGCUUUCCAACACUCCCUGCAGGGCUCUGAACCAAUACACAACAACAAGUGUCAGAAAACCAGGAAGGAAAACUGAUUUUUAUAGAAACUGGAAUGAAACUGACCAGUCUAGUUUCAUUAUCCAAGCUAAGCGGAAAUGCAAAAAAAUCAAAAUAAAAAGUAAACAAACAGCA